AACGAACGACUGGCGGCGUGCCUAACACAUGCAAGUCGUGCGAGAAAGUUCCUUCGGGAGCGAGUAAAGCGGCGCACGGGUGAGUAACACGUAGGUAACCUGCCCCCCAGUCUGGAACAACUAGAGGAAACUCUAGCUAAUGCCGGAUGAGACCACGAUCCCUUCGGGGGUUGCGGACCAAAGAUGGCCUCUACUUGUAAGCUAUCGCUGAGGGAUGGGCCUGCGGGCCAUUAGCUUGUUGGUGAGGUAACGGCUCACCAAGGCUGUGAUGGCUAGCUGGUCUGAGAGGAUGACCAGCCACACU
rnacentral:rRNA from 1 species